GACGAACGCUGGCGGCGUGCUUAACACAUGCAAGUCGAACGGAAAGGCCCUGCUUUUGUGGGGUGCUCGAGUGGCGAACGGGUGAGUAACACGUGAGUAACCUGCCCUUGACUUUGGGAUAACUUCAGGAAACUGGGGCUAAUACCGGAUAGGAGCUCCUGCUGCAUGGUGGGGGUUGGAAAGUUUCGGCGGUUGGGGAUGGACUCGCGGCUUAUCAGCUUGUUGGUGGGGUAGUGGCUUACCAAGGCUUUGACGGGUAGCCGGCCUGAGAGGGGGACCGGCCACAUUGGGACUGAGAUACGGCCCAGACUCCUACGGGAGGCAGCAGUGGGGAAUAUUGCACAAUGGGCGGAAGCCUGAUGCAGCAACGCCGCGUGCGGGAUAACGGCCUUCGGGUUGUAAACCGCUUUCGCAUGUGACGAAGCGUGAGUGACGGUAAUGGGUAAAGAAGCACCGGCUAACUACGUG
rnacentral:rRNA from 1 species